UCGAGAAUCAUUCACAAUGGGGGCAACCCUGAUGGUGCAACGCCGCGUGGAGGAAGAAGGUCUUCGGAUUGUAAACUCCUGUCAUCUAGGAGCAAGGCAUGGUGGUGAAUAGCUAACAUGAUUGAUAGUACUAGAAGAGGAAGGGACGGCUAACUUCGUGCCAGCAGCCGCGGUAAUACGAAGGUCCCGAGCGUUAUUCGGAAUCACUGGGCGUAAAGGGAGCGUAGGCGGCGUGGAAAGUCAGAUGGG
rnacentral:rRNA from 1 species